AAUCAACGCUGGCGGCGUGCCUCAGACAUGCAAGUCGAACGAUUAAAGCUCCCUUCGGGGAGUGCAUAGAGUGGCGCACGGGUGAGUAACACGUAAGUAAUCUACCUUCGAGUGGGGAAUAACGUCCGGAAACGGACGCUAAUACCGCAUAAUGCAGCGGCAUCGCAAGAUGACAGUUGUUAAAGAUUUAUCGCUUGAAGAGGAGCUUGCGGCAGAUUAGCUAGUUGGUAAGGUAAUGGCUUACCAAGGCUACGAUCUGUAACCGGUCUUAGAGGACGGUCGGUCACACUGACACUGAAUAACGGGUCAGACUCCUACGGGAGGCAGCAGUCGGGAAUUUUGGGCAAUGGGCGAAAGCCUGACCCAGCAACGCCGCGUGAAGGGUGAAGUAUUUCGGUAUGUAAACUUCGAAAGAAUGGGAAGGAUCAAUGACGGUACCAUUUAUAAGGUCCGGCUAACUACGUGCCAGCCGCCGCAGUAA
rnacentral:rRNA from 1 species